rnacentral:rRNA from 1 species
AACGAACGCUGGCGGCGUGCCUAACACAUGCAAGUCGAACGAGAAAGGGGCUUCGGCUCCGAGUAAAGUGGCGCACGGGUGAGUAACACGUGGGUAACCUGCCUCUAAGAUUGGGAUAACUCGUCGAAAGAUGAGCUAAUACCGGAUAAGACCACAGUUCCCGCGGGAACAGGGGUCAAAGGUAGCCUCUGCUUGCAAGCUAUCACUUAGAGAUGGGCCUGCGCACCAUUAGCUAGUUGGUAGGGUAACGGCCUACCGAGGCAAAGAUGGUUAGCUGGUCUGAGAGGAUGAUCAGCCACACUGGAACUGAGACACGGUCCAGACUCCUACGGGAGGCAGCGGUGGGGAAUAUUGCGCAAUGGGCGAAAGCUUGACGCAGCAACGCCGCGUGAGUGAUGAAGGCCUUCGGGUCGUAAAGCUCUGUCGGGAGGAACGAAUGCUCCCAAGGUUAACAGCCUCGGGAGGUGACGGUACCUUCAAAGGAAGCACCGGCUAACUCUGUGCCAGCCGCCGCGGUAAGAC